AUGAACGCUGGCGGCGUGCCUAAUACAUGCAAGCCGAGCGAACGGACGAGAAGCUUGCUUCUCUGAUGUUAGCGGCGGACGGGUGAGUAACACGUGGAUAACCUACCUAUAAGACUGGGAUAACUUCGGGAAACCGGAGCUAAUACCGGAUGAUAUUUUGAACCGCAUGGUUCAAAACUGAAAGACGGUCUUGCUGUCACUUAUAGAUGGAUCCGCGCUGCAUUAGCUAGUUGGUAAGGUAACGGCUUACCAAGGCAACGAUGCAUAGCCGACCUGAGAGGGUGAUCGGCCACACUGGAACUGAGACACGGUCCAGACUCCUACGGGAGGCAGCAGUAGGGAAUCUUCCGCAAUGGGCGAAAGCCUGACGGAGCAACGCCGCGUGAGUGAUGAAGGUCUUCGGAUCGUAAAACUCUGUUAUUAGGGAAGAACAUAUGUGUAAGUAACUGUGCACAUCUUGACGGUACCUAAUCAGAAAGCCACGGCUAACUACGUG
rnacentral:rRNA from 1 species